rnacentral:sRNA from 1 species
GCCAGGCAUGGUAGCGGGUGCCUGUAAUCCCAGCUACUCAGGAGGCUGAGGCAGGAGAAUUGCUUGAACCCAAGAGGUGGAAGUUGCAGUGAGCUGAGAUCAUGCCACUGCACUCUACCCUGGGUGACAGAGCAAGACUCUGUCUCAG